GACGAACGCUGGCGGCGUGCUUAACACAUGCAAGUCGAACGAUGAAGCCGGAGCUUGCUCUGGUGAAUUAGUGGCGAACGGGUGAGUAACACGUGAGUAACCUGCCCUUGACUCUGGAAUAACUGCUAGAAAUGGUAGCUAAUACCGGAUACGACCCUCGGAGGCAUCUCCAGGGGGUGGAAAGAAUUUCGGUCAAGGAUGGACUCGCGGCCUAUCAGCUAGUUGGUGAGGUAACGGCUCACCAAGGCGACGCCGGGUAGCCGGCCUGAGAGGGUGACCGGCCACACUGGGACUGAGACACGGCCCAGACUCCUACGGGAGGCAGCAGUGGGGAAUAUUGCACAAUGGGCGCAAGCCUGAUGCAGCAACGCCGCGUGAGGGAUGACGGCCUUCGGGUUGUAAACCUCUUUUAGUAAGGAAGAAGCGAAAGUGACGGUACCUGCAGAAAAAGCACCGGCUAACUACGUGCCAGCCGCCGCAGUAA
rnacentral:rRNA from 1 species